GUUAGAUGUGGGUGAGGCUACGAGAUUAGAGCUUAACCAACUGAAAUACCUCCUUAGGUUGAGACUUAAAUUUGAUGGGGAAGAAGGAGAAGAAGAAGUAAGGAGGAAGAACGUGGAUGAUCAACGUGUUCUUGAAGCCUUGCAACCACCUCUGACUUUGAAGGAAUUAGAGUUACUGUGAUACAGAGGCAACACUUUUCCCCCCUAGAUGAUGCAAAAAUUGAAGGAAUUUACCAAUUUAAGGAAUUUGACACUUUAAAACUGCAAAAAUUGUGAGCUGCUGCCUCCUUUGGGAAAAUUGGGAUCCCUUGAAAAGCUCAGCAUAUCGUACAUGGAGAGUGUGAAAAGAGUGGGUAAUGAGUUUUUUGGGGAUAGAAAGUGAUCAUUGUGACUCAUCUUCAUCUUCAUCUUCAUCGCUUAUUAUUGCCUUCCCCAAAUUGAAAUCACUUUCAGUUGAAGGAUUGAUGGAAUUGGAGGACUGGGAUUAUGGGAUUAAAAGAAUGGGAUACACCUCCAUCAACAUUAUGCCACGUCUUUCUUCCUUGGAAAUUAGUGUGGGAUUACGGGAUCGCUUUCAUGAAACAACGACGUUGAAGGUAUUGCACAUUGUGCAUGUCGUACUCUAGGAAGAUGUAACAGACAGAGGAGAAGAGCGACUGGCCUAAGAUCUCUCACAUUCCAGACACCAUGAUUGUGUGAAAGGAGGCCCUCGACAAAAUUCUCUAGGCGGCUACAUGGAGUACAAUCGUAAAAUGAUAAUGCCGCCACGCUGGUUCUUAAUUAAGGUUGUGAAAUAUUAUUGUAAAAGAUGAUUAAUUCAAUUUGAGUAAUUUGUUUGCUUUGAUAAUGAUGGUGCUAGAUUGGUGAGGCAGGAUAUGGUUCAAACCCCAUUGGAUAAAGCUAUGGACAUGGUGCCUCAACUUAGCUAGAUUGCUGUCAAAAUUGGUAAGUUGGUUUGUCAAUGUAUUGAUGCUUUUGUUUUCUCUCAACUCUAAUUACCUUACCUUCAUUUAUUUGGGCUCUGGAGUUAAGAGUAAUAACUUUCGAGGUUCUCAAACAGAGCAGGACAACUGGACCCAAAAAAAGAAAAAAAAAAGGAAAGAAGAAGAAGCUUAAUUUGUGCAGAUCACGUAUUGCCGUUAUUUAAGGUAAUUCUUGUUUACUUGCGUCUGCACUAUAGAGUGCGCGUUCUUGCUGGUUUCUCUAAUUCAUCAAAUGUUAUUUCCAUAUGUUUCCAUUGAUGUAUUUUUGCAUAUCAAGCAGAAACAGAACCCAAAGAAAAUGAAACCAUUUUCGGGCAGCAGUUGGCAGUGAAUUCAUGCAAAUGUUGAUGCCAUUCAUAGAUAUCAAAGACGAUGACGAGCCAAAGGUGAUGAAUCAUAAAUGCAUAAUUACCAAACCUCCAUCCUUCUCUCAUUGUAAUUUGGUUUGAAAUGAAUUAUUGCCAGGUAAUUGAGCCGAUAUUGUUAAAAAGCGUGUUGAGCUACCAAAGCUAAGAAGUUGUUGCCAAAAAUGCGGGGGAUCACAAGAAGCAUUGCAUUUGAAAAGGAAUGAGAUUCUGGUGGCGACAUGUCAAUCCAUAUGAGUUUAAAUAAGUUUAAUGGUUCAAGAAUGUUAGCUUCUGGUUCAAUUUGUGCAUUCAGGUGCUAUGAUGCUGCUACUGGGAAAUUUGGAUCCCAUAUUCGACAUUCCUCACAUCAGGAGCUGUGGAUCUUUAGACAUCAGAUUUUAAUUUCUGUAAUGUUAAAUUUCCCAAAACAUUAAAAAAAACAAUGCUGUAUACAUGGUGAAUGAUCUGGCGUAUCUAUAGGUAUUACCCAAGACAUUUCUGAGAACCUGAACUAGGAAUCCUUGUAUUUUUCUUUAUGUCAAGACAGUGACUUGAAGAUUUUAGAUUAUUAUUUUUGGCCAUUUUAUAAUUGUUGGCAUAUUGAACUUGAGUAAUUUUGAUAAACCAUAGUUCAGGAAUGUCUGAUAGAAAUAUUGGAGACUUGAACUUGAAUAUUAGAUUUGAAAUUAAAGAGGUAAGCCAUUAAAAGACAUCAAAGGAUUUGGAAAAUGGAGGAAUUGGAAUAUUGGUAUGAUGGGAUUACAAGAAAGGGAAACUUUUGCAUCAACAUCAAGCAUUGGGCAUUUUCAUUUGUCCUAUUCUAACACCAGUUAGGAAUAUCAACAAGAAGUUGCGCUAUGAAUUAAGUAAUCUGCCAGUAAUGCAAGCAUUGAAUGUGAAGAGCUUCACAUAACUUUGAAUUAGCUUAUGAUUUAACACUAUUCCUUUUUGUGUGUGAUCAUGCAUUACGCCGUAGAUGAAAAAUUUGAGGAGUUGAUGAUGGUUGUAAAUAUAAAUGAUAGGUAGAUAAACGUUAGAUAUCGUUUUAUAAACCAACGCGAUUAGAUUACGCUUUCGAUCGAAAAUGUAAUUAAGUCUUAUUUUAAUCCAAAUAAUUCAAUGAAAUUUUGAUAAUGCUUUAUAACGAAAUUAGAUAACGCUCUAAUUCAAAUGACUCCAUAAGAAAAUAAUUUUUUUUUUUACUAUAUUGAGAAUGCAAAAAAAUAUUUACGAUUUUAUGAACUUUUAUAUAUAUAUAUAUAUAUUUAAUCUUUUAACUUAUUUUUUAUUUAAUAAAAUGAGGACUCCCUCCUUGGAAGCUAACUUCAUACAUACAUACAUACAUAUGGCUAUAUAUAUAUAUAUAUGACUUGGUUAUUAAUAUUUCAUUUCUACAAAUUAUAUUUAAAUCUGUCAUUUGUUUAAUUCAUAAUCUAAAAGUGAGACCUGAAAAAUUAAAUUACAAAUUGAAGAAUUUAUAUUGUAUUCCUUAUAUUUCAGUUCAUAAAAACAAUAGGAAAGCUAUUCUUCGAUGUGUCUUUCUGAAUAAAAUAAUGUUCGAAAAACAAAAUGUUUCUUUUUUGAGAAUUGAACAGUUUUUAAAUUAUUUCCGAAACAAUAUAUUUAUUGUUCACCUUAAGAAAUAAUUGAUCAGAUUUAAAUUAAAAACCAAACAUAUAUUCAAUUGCCACACCUCUUUCUCUUGAAAAUGCGAUGUUAUUAAAAUUUAAGUUUCAAUAAAUUUAUCGAAAUUAACAAUAAUUAAUAACAUGUGACAAUAUUUUAUCAAUAGUUUCCAAUAUUCACAGUUAAAAUAUAUAAAAUUACCAUCAUAUAAUUCUAUAUGAUUAAGUGCUAGUAGAUUCAACUAAUAGGCUUGGAGCUGAUCACAAAGUAAAGGCAUAUAAUCAUUUCCCUUUCUUACUUAACUAAUAUAUCAAAAUUUUAUUAUAUAAAUCUCAUCAUGUAAUUGAAAAUACUUUUAUUAUAAUUGCGAAUUAAAACUAAUUUUUUCGUUCUAUAUUAAAAUUCUUUUUGGAAAAAAGAUAUAAAAUAAAAAGAAAAUGAAAAAAAAGACCAGAAAACCACGUCGUAUUGGCGAUACAAAAUCGUUUUAACGCUGACAGAACAUCAAAUAUUCCUUUCUUUUAAUUUCAAUUUUCACUUUUUCAAAAACGACGGCCGUUUGCUGUCUCUCCACUCUGAUUGAUAGAAACAAAGAAAAAGAAAAACACAGCGAUGAACGAGAUCUCGAGAUACCGAUCUUUUCAAUUUUUGCUAUUAAUUUCAUCAAUUUGUCUACAAUUCAUCCCAGGUUCGUUCUCCUAUUCAAAUUUUUAAUUUUUUAAAAAAUUUCUUCUCUUACUCUGAUUUGCUUUUGUUGUUGUUUUUAAUCUAAUUAAGAAGCGUAAAUAGCAUUUUGAAUCAAACUCUAUAUCAGAAAUCUGCAAUACAUACUUUCUAAUAUUCUGAUUUUCAUAUCCUAUGAAUAUACGAUUUUUAAUUUGUGAGAUGGGUAACGUUACUGUAAAAGAUUAUUAAUGCAAUAUGAGUAAUUCUUUUGCAGGACAAGUGACCUACAUUUAGUUUGGCUUUGGAGUUGAAUAAUAACGUUUCAAGGCCAGGACCCAACAGCAGGAAAAACAAAAAAAAAGGAACGAAGCUUACUUUUGCCACAGAUUACAUGUAUUGCCACUAUUGACAAGUUUCUGGACAAGUGAUCAAGGGUGAGAGUGGUGCUACAACAUUGAAUAAAGCAGUCGUGACUGAAUUUAGGUUGAUGUCAAAAGUGGUAAAUUAUUUGCAUGUGUAGCUAAUUUGACCAUUUCCUGAUCCAUAAGUCUAUAUUAAUUUUGAUUUUUAGUUGAGUGAUUACAUUUCAAGGUUUGCUUACUUAACAGGGCGACCAAUUUCUUUUAACUAAAUGUAUUAUAUGAUGCAGGAAGCAAGGCAGGAUAUCAAAUAAUGGCAGUUGGCAGUGAAUGGAGGCCCUUGACUAAAUUCUCAAGCGGUUGCACUGCACUUACGCUUAUCCGUAGCCUCAGGUAAUUUCUUCUUCUGCAUUUUUGUAAUUUGUUAUCUAAUUAAGGGGCGUAAGCUAUUUUGAAUCAAAUUCUAUAUCAGGAAUAUAUGCAACAUUUUCUAAAAUUUUGAUAUGUGAGUAAUGAUGGUAAUUUCUCUUUUUUGUCUGUCAUCGAAUGUUAGACAACAUUCACUAAGACUCUUGAGAGUCAUUUUUCGACAAUUGCAGGACAAGCGACGAAGAGUGAGAAUGGUGUUAGAUUGGGGAUUGAGGCAAAACGAGGUAAAUAAUUGGCAGAGAAUUUGGGAGCUUGAGUGUACUGGGAUUUGCAAUUACAAUCUUACUCUGCCUUAGGUGAUUUCUUCUCCUGCUUUGUCAUUGGUUGUUCUCUAGUUGAAAAGCAUUAAGUAUUUCAAUCAAAUUCUAUACCAAGAAUAUGCAAAACUUUAUUUCCAUCUGUUUGCAUUGAUAACUUUGCGGCAUAUGCGCUAGUUAAAGAACAAACAGAAACAGAGGUCAGGAACAAGUUUCCUCUGCCGUCAUAUUUGAAAAUGCAACCAUUUCCUGGAAGUAGUUGGCAGCAAAUUCAUAUAAAGUGUAGACAAUAAUGAGCAAAAAGGUGAUUCACAAUUUUAUUUUUUUUAAAUUAAUUGUUAGGUUGGAGUUGUUAAAAGGCCAUUGAGCUAACUUAUGUCGUUAGUUAUCUAGAUUGCAGGGGGUCCCGAGACUCAAAAGAAGCAUUGAAUUUUAAAAGGCAUGCAAUAAUUCUUGUGGGCGUAUGUCAAGUCAUGUAAGUUUGAAUGUAAUUAUUGGUGAAGGGGUUUCAUUUUCUGUCUCUAAAUCGAGAUACUGAUUCUUUAAGGUACAUGCCAGAAGGGAUUGCGAGAUUAACAAGUCUCCGGACAUUGGAAGAGUUCCAUUGAGUGGAGGAAGUGCUGAUGGUGGCAAAGCAUGUGGUAUAAGUAGACUGGGAAAGGUGUUAGAUGUGGGUGAGGCUACGAGAUUAGAGCUUAACCAACUGAAAUACCUCCUUAGGUUGAGACUUAAAUUUGAUGGGGAAGAAGGAGAAGAAGAAGUAAGGAGGAAGAACGUGGAUGAUCAACGUGUUCUUGAAGCCUUGCAACCACCUCUGACUUUGAAGGAAUUAGAGUUACUGUGAUACAGAGGCAACACUUUUCCCCCCUAGAUGAUGCAAAAAUUGAAGGAAUUUACCAAUUUAAGGAAUUUGACACUUUAAAACUGCAAAAAUUGUGAGCUGCUGCCUCCUUUGGGAAA
rnacentral:lncRNA from 1 species